UACGAAGGGGGCGAGCGUUGCUCGGAAUCACUGGGCGUAAAGCGUGCGUAGGCUGCUUUGAAAGUCAGGAGUGAAAGCCCCAGGCUCAACUUGGGAAUUGCUCUUAAUACUCCAAGGCUCGAAUUCGGGAGAGGAUAGCGGAAUUCUCAGUGUAGCAGUGAAAUGCGUAGAUAUUGAGAGGAACACCAGUGGCGUAAGCGGCUAUCUGGACCGACAUUGACGCUGAGGCACGAAAGCGUGGGGAUCAAACAGG
rnacentral:rRNA from 1 species